CAUCAGCACGUCAUCAUCGACGCCGAGUGUGUACAACACACGACCCGGCACUUUGCCGCCCGCCUCACGCACCGAUCCUUUCCUCUCUCUUCCAAACUUCCUCUUUUUUCUCUUCUUUUGCUUGAUUAUAUACGUACACAGCUACAUUUUGUUCCGUGGCCUCUCACGUUGCGCGUGUACGGGCCAAGACCUGCAUUUUGCCUCGUUUCGACCAACAGCUGUGACACCCAGAGGACCUGUCGUCUCGUCUGGAAGAACGAUGGCGCGGAAGUGUGUGAAACGUAAGCGAUCUCUCUGUACCGUGGAAACACCGUUGGAAAGUCGGUUCUGGACGCGAUCAACAGCGAAAGCAUGGAACAGAGCGGGCAAAGCUGAGGCGCAAAAUGUCGAAUCGGGUGAAAGCCGAGUAUCAACGCUUGCGACGUGAUCCGGAUCGAUGCCGAUCUACCGGUGUGUGGACGAUCGAUUUCACGGAGAUUACGAAACGGAUGUGUUCGAAUUCGAGCCACGUACCACGCUGAGUCGAACAACUCCUGGAGGAAAUCUUUGAGGCUUGACUAUCAUCCAAG
rnacentral:misc_RNA from 1 species